rnacentral:misc_RNA from 1 species
GAUGAAGAACGCAGUGAAAUGCGAUACUUGGUGUGAAUUGCAGAAUCCCGUGAACCAUCGAGUUUUUGAACGCAAGUUGCGCCCGAAGCCUUUUGGCCGAGGGCACGUCUGCCUGGGCAUCACGCAUCGCGUCGCCCCCCACAAAUUCUCCUCAGGGGAGCUUGUGUUUCGGGGGCGGAUACUGGUCUCCCGUGCUCAUGGCGCGGUUGGCCGAAAUAGGAGUCCCUUCGAUGGACGCACGAACUAGUGGUGGUCGUAAAAACCCUCGUCUUUUGUUUCGUGCCGUUAGUCGCGAGGGAAGCUCUUCAAAAACCCCAGCGCGUCGUCUCUUGACGGCGCUUCGACCGCGACCCCAGGUCAGGCGGGACUACCCGCUGAGUUUAAGCAUAUCAAUAAGCGGAGGA